GAUGAAGAACGCAGCGAAAUGCGAUACGUAAUGUGAAUUGCAGAAUUCAGUGAAUCAUCGAAUCUUUGAACGCAUAUUGCGCUCUCUGGUAUUCCGGAGAGCAUGCUUGUUUGAGUAUCAGUAAACACCUCAACUUCCAUAUCUUUUUUGAAAUGGGAGUUGGACUUGAGUGAUCCCAACGCUUUUCCUCACCGAAAAGUGGCGGGUUACUUGAGAUGCAGGUGCAGCUGGACUUUUCUCUGAGCUAUAAGCAUAUCUAUUUAGUCUGCCUAAAAAACAGAUUAUUACCUUUGCUGCAGCUAACAUAAAGGAGAUUAGUUCUUGUGCUGACUGAUGCAGGAUUCACAAAGACAGGCUUCGGCCGACUUUGUAAACUCGAUCUCAAAUCAAGUAAGACUACCCGCUGAACUUAAGCAUAUCAAUAAGCGGAGGA
rnacentral:misc_RNA from 1 species